ensembl:lncRNA
AAUGUGUGGAGGAGUCGUCACCAAAAUCCCAGAUUUCCACCACGGAAAAUAGCCUUAUAUCAGCUGCAUUGAAAACGAUGUCUCUCGUUAUUGCCGUGGCUCUAGCACUUUACUGUGGAAGCUGUCUGGCCUUUCAGUGUUCUCUUUACAGGCAUGGUUGAUUUUAGUAGAGUGCCGUGGUGGUUCUGUAGGUGUCUUUGCGUAGUGCUCAUGUUAGCCGUGGCAUACGGGACUAUUUUCUUACAGUGCUUACAUGUUUUCGUGAAUUGUCUGUUACUCUGUCGCCGUUUAUUAUUUCCACCGGGUACCUGCCACACAAACUAUUUAAAAGUGGUGGGGGCAUCUUCUAUGCUAAUAUCCCCCUCACACUCUGUCAUGCUGAUAUUGUGAGACAGCUUUUCACCUCGAUGAGAAAUAUUGUCACGUUUUAAUAUCGCGAGAUCUCGUCACAUCCCUAGUAAUCACAGAUAGUUGCAGGUAGUAACGGGUAGUCUCAGGUAGUAACAGGUAGUCUCAGGUAGUAACAGGUAGUCUCAGGUACUCUCAGGUAGUAACAGUAGUCUCAAGUAGUAACAGAUAGUCUCAGGUAGUAACGGGUAGUCUCAGGUAGUAACAGAUAGUCUCAGGUAGUAACAGAUAGUCUCAGGUAGUAACGGGUAGUCUCAGGUAGUAACGGGUAGUCUCAGGUAGUAAAGGGUAGUCUCAGGUAGUAACAGAUAGUCUCAGGUAGUAACAGGUAGUCUCAGGUAGUAAAGGGUAGUCUCAGGUAGUAACAGAUAGUCUCAGGUAGUAACAGAUAGUCUCAGGUAGUAACAGGUAGCCUCAGGUAGUAACAGGUAGUCUCAGGUAGUAACAGAUAGUCUCAGGUAGUAACAGGUAGUCUCAGGUAGUAACAGGUAGUCUCAGGUAGUAACAGGUAGUCUCAGGUAGUAACAGGUAGUCUCAGGUAGUAACAGACAGUCUCAGGUAGUAACGGGUAGUCUCAGGUAGUAACAGACAGUCUCAGGUAGUAACAGGUAACCGAACAUUAUGUGGUGAACACACACAGGCACGAUUUAUACACACAGUGACACGUUCCACCCUCAGAACACCUCUCGUCCAAUCAGAUCAGUGGACUGGAACUAAGAGCUGUAUAAGUAGUUAAUAACACACUCCAGACCGUGUGCAGGAACAUAAUCCAUUUCGGAGUAGUAACAGUAACUCCGCUUUAUCACACCAUCCUGUCAUUGAUCAUUUUCCUAUAACAGCACCACCUGGAGUGAUUAUUUCAAUACUUACUGGUGUUUUUUCUGUAAAAAGCCACGCCCCUCACACAACUAGUGAAGUUCUGUUUUUAUUUCCUCGGAAUGUUCCGGGUUUUUACAAACAGCUUUAUAACUACAGUAACAUUUUUAACUUUCCUGAAGUAGUCGGCAGAAAUCUCUCUGGAGUUUGACUUGCAUUUAUUUAUUUAUUUAUUAAUUGAUUGUUGCUGAGC